UUCGGGUUGUAAAGUACUUUCAGCGGGGAGGAAGGCGAUAAGGUUAAUAACCUUGUCGAUUGACGUUACCCGCAGAAGAAGCACCGGCUAACUCCGUGCCAGCGCCGCGGUAAAA
rnacentral:rRNA from 1 species